rnacentral:rRNA from 1 species
UACCAGCUCUCCGAGUGGUGUGGAUGUUUAUUGGGCCUAAAGCAUCCGUAGCUGGCUGGGCAAGUCCCCUGUUAAAUCCACCGAUUUAAUCGUUGGAGUGCGGGGGAUACUGCUCGGCUAGGGGGCGGGAGAGGCAGACAGUAUUUUCGGGGUAGGGGUGAAAUCCUAUAAUCCCGAGAAGACCACCAGUGGCGAAGGCUGUCUGCUAGAACGUGCCCGACGGUGAGGGAUGAAAGCUGGGGGAGCGAACCGGAUUAGAUACCCGGGUAGUCCCAGCUGUAAACGAUGCAGGCUAGGUGUUUGGGCGGCCACGUGCCGUUCUAGUGCCGCAGGGAAGCCGUUAAGCCUGCCGCCUGGGGAGUACGGCCGCAAGGCUAGAAACUUAAGGAAUUGGGCGGGGGAGCACCACGAAGGGGUGAAGCUUGCGGUUU